rnacentral:tRNA from 1 species
UUCUUGUGUAGGUUAAUUUUAAACUAUUAGCUUGUGGUGCUGAGGAUUCGUUUGAUGCAGGAAA